CCCAGACCUGGCGUCUGUCCUGCGCGCCACGUUUAGCGUAAACUGGGAAGCGGAUUCCGUGGAGUGAAAGUCACACCGCAGUGGAGAUGGACAAACCGUGUGGGUGCCCUCCAGGUGUGUGUGACCAUGCAAUGGGAGACUGGCAGGACCCACGUUGGCCAACCAUGGGCCUGGUCCCUCCAGUAGGAGUCAUGAGCCAGCUGAAUUUGAAUGCAAAGAUGGAGCAAGGGCCGACUGGAGUCACACUGACAUCCACCCCCAUAACAUGGGGACAGAUCAAGAAAACAAAGCAGGAAGCUGAGAAAAUGCUGGAGCGUCAGGGUCAGGCAAAAACCCUUGACUCCAUGUGCUUGGCUAUGUUAGCAGUAGUGUCCUAUGAGUCUGUAAGAUUGGGUGGACCACCAACCGGCAAUUGAAAGCUGCACAGCCUGGAAUUACCUUUAUUCAAUUAAUGCAAAAACAUAAAGGGGGAGAUGUUGGACACCGAAGGAAUGAGGGUCGUGACCAACUCAGUAUACCACUGGAGGCUGUAUGAGCAAACAGCAAACUGUUCUCAUGAAAGCAGUUGGCAAGCUGACAACUGAAUCUGCCACCAGAAGAAAUGCCGAGGGCAGUCACAUCCCAGCUGCCAUGUUCCUUGAAGUUAUCUACAGAAACAUCUGGAGCCUGUUGAACAAAAAAAGCAAUCACAUAUGCCUGUGUUAAAUUAAAUAGUUGACUGACAGUUACCCCUUCCUCUCUGUUUACCCAAUAAAUAUGAAGGGCUGUAGAAGCUCAGGCUGUUGUUCUCUAGAAGCAAGGAGCCCCCAGUCCCUUCCUGCAAAUAGUUACCUUUGUCUUUGUCUUCAUUCCUGUGUUCAUCCUCCUCCGUUCAGUCCCGAUGUAAC